rnacentral:rRNA from 1 species
AACGUAGGAGGCAAGCGUUAUCCGGAGUUACUGGGCGUAAAGCGCAUGUAGGCGGAUGGACAAGUUGGUUGUGAAAGCGCCCGGCUAAACUGGGCGAGGCCGAUCAAGACUGUUCAUCUAGAGAGUGAUAGAGGGGCGCAGAAUUCGGGGUGUAGCGGUGAAAUGUGUAGAGAUCCCGAGGAAUACCAGUGGGGAAGCCGGCGCCCUGGGUCAUAUCUGACGCUGAGAUGCGAAAGCGUGGGGAGCGAACGGG